AACACCUGGAGACACACACACACACACACACACACACACACACACACACACACACACACACACACACACACACACACACACACACACACACACACGUUUGUGGAACACAUAAGGAAGACUGAGAGUGUGCUCUUUUUUAAAUUACGUGUCAUUUCCUUCAAAUGAGCCAAAUGUGUUUUUUGGUUAAGUUUUAAAGGUCUCUCUGAGCCAAAGUAUUUCCGAACAUAUUUCAAAGUUUAGCAGCAUCUUUUCUUUUGUCAGUGCCAUCAUAUUAACAGACUACUUGGCAGACAAAAACCUGAUUAGAAAAGAGAAGAAUUUCAGUGUGUGCAAAAUUAAAAAGUAAAAAGACAAAAACAAAGUUCUUAUCUAAAGGGGAAAAGCAACAUCUGAAAGCAAAGUCAUUAGAAAAUCAUUUUAAACUAUCAACAAAAGAUCAGACAAGAGACAGAGAUGGAUCCUCCUGUGUGUGUUCCAUCAACUUGACAACACCUUUUGAGAUACGUGUUUGGAAGUUGUCUUCUUGGCGAUGAAAAUAUUAACCUUUUCUGGGUUCAUAUACACAACAAAGAAGCCCAACAUGAGUAUUUUAACACGUUUCACACAGAUUUUUGCUGUUUUGUUUGUACUUUUCAGAGGACCCAAUUUUACUUAAUAAAUGGAAUUCUGAAAGAUAAAAACUGGAAAUAGGAGAAAAAUAAGCUUUGAAAUAGAUUUAAGGUGGAACACUUGUUUAAGCAAUACAUUUGAAGUGGUCUCUAAUAAGAAUGGAUGGCUUGAAAGCUGUACUCUGAGGGAAUAAUUACUGAUUAACCAGUUUCAGGAACUAGAAGUGAGCCACAUCAGAGCUGAGCUUCAGACGGCAGGAUUUAGUCUUAUUUCCUAUAUUUGAUAUUUGGACAUCUCAUCUCAGAUUGGAUAACAGCAACACGACUCUAUCAUGACUUGCAGCAAAGAAGAUGUUUUAUCUUCGCAACUAACACAAGCUUGGAUGAGUUCUGCUGUGUGAUGGAUUUGCUAACGCUAACAGUUAGCUUCUACUACCAGAGACGUUCUCGUUUUUCUGGACGCUAAACCAAAAACAGCCUUCCCUGUCUUGAGUGAAGAUGGGUAAGUCCAUGAAUGUUCAGUGACAGUGUGACGUAGAUCUGUCAACAUUUUCAAAUCCUAGAGUUUCACCAUCUAUUUUCUUUCAGAAGCUAAUGCAGGAAAUAGGUGUAGGUAGGGAUGAGUACCUUUGACAUUUGAAUCGAUUCGGUACUAAUUCCCGGUACCUACGAAUCGAUACCAGUACUUAACGGUACCAAUUUUCGAUACUUUUGAGUCUUUAAUAUUUUUAAUUCUCUUUUAUAAUUAGAUAUAUAUUUUUCUCAAUAUAUAACAAUAUUUGAUAAAUAUCACGACAAAUAACAUUCAACUGUUUGUAUUUUAACAUCGUCCUUGUAGUUUUAUAAGCUGAUAAUUAAACUGAAGCAAACAUCUUUACUGUGAACUAAAUUUACUGUGUAUCUUCAUUCCUUUUGCCGUCCUUUUUCAAUUGAUUUUUCCUACUGGGAAGUUAGAAUUUCCGAGGAGAAAGCGAACGCACCAUUAGAUGAUAACAAUGGUGGCAUAGGAAGCUAACAUAUCAAGCUACGUUAUCUUAAACAGUCUAUUUAACUGCUGGAGCAGAUUAAAACGAUGAUGCCUCACACUUAAAUCGUUGUCACUGGUUUCAUCUUCACCCAAUCACCCGUCGCAUUUAGUAAAGUGAAGCCAAACUUUAGAGCGCGUUCAUGUUCCUCUAGUCGGAAUUUCGGAGUUCCGAGGAGAAAGCGAACGCACCAUUAGUAUAAACGGAAGCUAACAAAUCAAGCUAAUGUUAUCUUAAACAUUUUAUCUACCUACCGGAGCUGCUCUGUUUACAACUGGCUCGCAGCGACCGAUGACAUAACACUCUUGCGCAUGCGCAGCUGUCUAGGCAAGUUCUCGUUGUGAAGGACGGGUACCGAAACGAGGCACCGUUUCAAAUGAAGUGAAUCGGUGCUCGGUCGGUACUGUGGAAUUCGGUCGGUACCUUAAAAAGUACAGAAUUCGGUACCCAUCCCUAGGUGUAGGAGAAUGUUUUCAUGUUCAACCAACAUGACAAACUCAAGAGUGACUGAUUACAAUCAGAAAUAAUAAAUAAAAAUGGUUUUUCAGUGAACCACACCGUUAAAGUGGAUUUUAUAGGCUCUACCAGUAAAACUACCAAUCAAGACUGAGACAAUAAUAAAGAAAAUGAACUAAAGUUUCCUUUAUAUCUUUCUGCAUGGUACAUCAUUUUAACCUGGCCUGGAUAGUUUGUAGCUACAAUGAGGAACAUAAGUAUUUGAACACCUUGCAAUUUUGCAAGUUCUCCCACUUAGAAAUCAUGGAGGGGUCUGAAAUUGUAGGUGCAUUCCCACUGUGAGAGACAGAAUGUAAAAAAAUUAAAAUAAAUCAGGAAAUCACAUUGUAUGAUUUGUAAAGAAUUUUUUGUUUUGCACUGCUGGACAUAAGUAUUUGAACAUCUGGCAAUCAGCAAGAAUUCUGGCUCUCAAAGACCUGUUACUCUGCCUUUAAGAAGUCCACCUCUACUCCACUUAGUAAUCUUAAUUAGUAGCACCUGUCUGAGCUCUUUAAAGACACCCCACAGUCAGUCAGACUCCAACUACUACCAUGGGCAAGACCAAGGAGCUGUCAAAAGAAACCAGAGACAAAAUUGUGGACCUCCACAAAACUGGAAAGAGCUACGGGGAAAUUGCCAAGCAGCUUAGUGAAAAUAGACCAACUGUUGGAGCAAUUGUCAGAAAAUGGAAGAGGCUAAAGACGACUGUCGGUCUCCCUCGGACUGGGGCUCCAUGCAAGAUCUCAUCUCGUGGGGUAUCACUGAUAAGAAAGGUGAGGAAUCAGCCCAGAACUACACGGGAGGAGCUGGUCAAUGACUUGAAGAGAGCUGGGACCACAGUUUCAAAGGUCACUGUUGGUAGAACACUAUGCCGUCAUGGUUUCAAAUCACGCAUUGCACAAAAGGUUCCCCUGCUCAAGUCAUCACAUGUCCAAGCCCGUCUGCAGUUUGCCAAUGACCAUCUGGAUGAUCCAGAGGAGGCAUGAGAGAAAGUCAUGUGGUCAGAUGAGAGACCAAAGUAGAACUUUUUGGUCUAAACUUUACUUGCCAUGUUUGGAGGAAAAAGAAAGAGGAGUUGCAUCCAAAGAACACCUUCCCUACUGUGAAGCAUGGGGAAGGAAACAUCAUGUUUGGGGGAACUUUUCUGCGAAGGGACAGGACGACUGCACUGUAUUAAGGAGAGGAUGAAUGGGGCCAUGUAUCGUGACAUUUUGAGCAACAACCUUCUUCCCUCAGUCAGAGCAUUGAAGAUGGGUCGUGGCUGGGUCUUCCAACACGACAAUGACCCAAAGCACACAGCCAGGAUAACCAAGGAGUGGCUCCAUAAGAAGCAUAUCAAGGUUCUGGAGUGGCCUAGCCAGUCUCCAGACCUAAAUCCAAUCAAAAAUCUUUGGAGGGAGCUGAAACUCCAUGUUGCUCAGCACCAGCCCCAGAACCUGACAGAUCUAGAGAAGAUCUGUGCGGAGGAGUGGGCCAAAAUCCCUGUUGCAGUAUGUGCAAACCUGGUCAAGAACUACAGGAAACGUUUGAUCUCUGUAAUUGCAAACAAAGGCUUCUGUACCAAAUAUUAAUACUGAUUUUCUCAGGUGUUCAAAUAUUUAUGUGCAGCAGUGCAAAACAAAAAAAUUCUUUACAAAUCAUACAAUGUGAUUUCCUGAUAUAUAUAUUUUUUAACAUUCUGUCUCUCAUAGUGGGAAUGCACCUACAAUGUGAAUUUCAGACCCCUCCAUGAUUUCUAAGUGGGAGAACUUGCAAAAUCGCAAGGUGUUCAAAUACUUAUGUUCCUCACUGUAUACUAACAAUGAAAUAACGCUUUAAUACUUUUAUUUAAAACAUAAUUACAUUAAGAGAUGUCCAGGGACAGGAUUACCAGAAGCUACUUCCCAUCUUUAAUUCUAAUCCAGCUGUAAAUCUGUUUCCAUACAGACAAAUUAAAUAGUUUGCCGUGAUUUUAAACUACAGUCACGGGCAUGAAGACAGCCGGUGUCUUAGAUCACAGACUCUUGCCAAAUGUGCAUACAUCAAAUUAGUGUUUGUGUUAUCUCUCAACAAUAUUUGGCCGAAUAAUCCUGUGUUUUUCUUUUUUCAUUAUCUGAAACAUUUUAUAAACAUUUAUAUAAAAUUAUCAAAAAUAAAAACCAGAAGAUGGCACAUGAGUUAGAGCUUCAUUUUUGAGGCCGAUUAUGGUAAUUAUGCCACAUCACAGUCUUAUUAUGGCUUUAGAGGUCAUAACACUUAACCUCCCAGCUGAUGUGGGAAUACUCAGAUAAGAAUAACUUGAACAGACUUUCUAUUUAAUUCAGCUAUAAAAAACACAAUGGACAGUUACAGAAUAUGAAUUUACUCAUUUGCAUUGACACGUUUCCUGUUAAACUCAAAGUAUCAGUUUGAUCCAGAGGCAUAAGGGCUCUGACAACAUCAGUGAAACGCUUGUUUGAAUAAAAAGCUCCAAGAGCUCUCCCAGAGAGAGCAGCGUCUCCGUCACUGGGCUGCAGAAUGCAAACGACGCCAAUGAGCAACUCUUCGCUGGAAUACGAAUGAAACUUUAGAUCAAAUGAGUUUUGUAGAACUAAAUUAAAUUGCUAAAAGUAAUAGAAGUCAUUUUUUGUCUGAUGACCAAUUAGAUUUCAGUUUUUGAUGAGUCAGCACACUGAUGCUUUUCUAUUCAUAAACUAAACUGAUGGCUGGUAUUUUAGGUAAGAAGCUGUCAUAUUAAAUUAAUAUUUGCUGAAUUUUAUUCAUGUUCCUACCAUUCAAGUGUGAAAAUCCUAUAACACUAAAUAAUGUAAAGAAAGCUGACCUGAGUGGCUUCUGUGUACUCGGUAGCAAGCAUGUUUGGGUUACACUGUCCCCUAUAGAGCUCCAGACGUCACGUGACUCUCAGAGAGUAGACGCCAUGUUGGCAGGUAACAAAGGUAAACAAAAUGAACAGGAUCGGCUUGGAUUUAACUCCGUCGGAGUUUACUUCACACUUUAAAACCGAAGAAAUCGUUUUAUAUAGUCAGAAAUUAAAUAGACUAAACAUCUCCGACCCUUACCGUGACCCUGGGAUACAUUUUAAAAACGCUAGAAGCUGUCGGAGCGGACCUGGCCAGGGAACGCCUUGGGAUUCCCCCGGAGGAGCUGGCCCAAGUGGCUGGGGAGAGGGAAGUCUUCCCGCACACCUUUGUUACUCCAGAUAAUUUAAGAAAAACUGCUAAUUAGCAUCUAUAGGUAAAGACUAUGGCUGUGUCUCAAUUCAGGGUCUGCAUCCUACGUCGGCCGGAUUCGUCGGCCGGUUACGUCACAGCGCCGCGACUAGGCCUGUCCCAAUUCGAAGACUCCUUCAAAUGUGGUCGACGAAUGCGGCCUUCUUUUCGCCUGAAUGAAGGAUGGGUCCGGUGUAUCCUUCAAUAGGUAGCAUUUCCCAAGAUGCCUUGCGGGCCGGCCGGCAGAAAAACUUAAAAACAAUGGCGGACAGUGAAGCGGGAGGUGUCGGAGAGGAUUGCGCAUAUAAAUGAACAAAAGAGAAAACCAGGGAAUUUAUUAAGCUUCGGGCGGAGAUGGACCACAUGAUCACCGGAGCAAAGUAUUCGGCGGCUGUGGCAUGGAGACUAUUCUGGAGAAAAUGGGCAUCCAGGGGAAGGUGCCAGCGAUGAGCUUCUGGAGCUGAUCUGGGAGGACAUGAGGCUGCAGAGGGAGGCAGAGCAGCAGAGGGCCCAGGAGAGAAGGACGAACUUUGACAGCUUUUUACUUUGCUAGAAAAAAAUGGUUAAUAAAGAUUAAACAUGUACAUAUAAAAGAAAUAUCUAAAUAAAAUCUGUUCUGCAUUAAACUCUUGAAUUUUAUUUUUGUUUACAAAUGAGAAUUGUUUACUAGAGGGUAUCCGCUGGGUCUUGAAAAGUCUUAAAAGGUGAUAAAUCGGUUUUGGUCAAAUUAAGACCCUUAGAAAGUAUUAAAAACUAUUAUCACAUCUUUGCUCAGGCUCAGCUUGUCUAACGUAUUUUCUCUGAAUUAGCUCUCCAACAGUCAAGGAAAUGAUUAACCCCCAGAGACCCACGGUUGUAAUAUUACAACAUCAGAUUUAAGUCUACAAAAAUAAACCUUCCCCAUUUUUUUUCUUUUUAAAACCACAUUUACAUUGCUAAUAGGUCUUAUUGUUCAGUUCUGCAACACUGUUGGCUGUUAAAAUGUGUAAAUAGGCCCGUUUAUCUGGCCUCCUAGAACAACAUGUGAAAGGUUAAAAAAAGAUUUUGCAGUUGUUUUCUAAAUUUCGGUUUCUGGGGGUUAAAAAGCUAAAUAAAACGUCGAGCUCCAUCGUUUAAAGUUCCUUCUCCCUUCUGCCCAGCGGUUCCACGGUUGCUAGGCGACGGAACGUUCGCGGAGGGAGUUCAUGAAGGCUAGGCCUGUCCAAAUUCACAGCCGUUAACAUCCGGUCUACCCGGCCGACGGAGGACGCAGCCCACGUCGGCCGGGUGGGCUGGGUCCUUCGAAGGAUGCAGACCCUGAAUUGAGACACAGCCUAUGUCAGCAGCUUCCACCUAAUAGCGAGCUAGUAUCUGAACCAUCCAUUUUUAUCCACUUAUCUGGAGUCGGGUCGCGGGGGCAGUAGCCUAAGGCGAGAGGCCCAGACUUCCCUCUCCCCAGCCACUUGGGCCAGCUCCUCCGGGGGAAUUCCAAGGCAUUCCCUGACCAGGUGAGAGACAUAGUCCCUCCACCGUGUCCUGGGUCUACCUUAAGGUCUCCUCCCGGUUGGACGUGCCCGGAAAACCUCACCAGGGAGGCGUCCAGGAGGCAUCCUGACCAGAUGCCCGAGCCACCUCAACUGGCUCCUCUCGAUGUGGAGGAGCAGCGGGUCUACUCCGAGCCCCUCCUGAAUGACCAAGUUUCUCACCCUAUCUCUAAGGGAGAGCCCAGCCACUCUUCAGAGAAAACUCAUUUCGGCUGCUUGUAUCUGCGAUCUUGUUCUUUCGAUCACUACCCAAAGCUCAUGACCAUAGGUGAGGGUAGGAACGUAAAUCGACCGGUAAAUGGAGAGCUUCGCCUUCUGACUCAGCUCUCUCUUCACCACGACAGACCGGUACAACGCCUGCAUCACUGCAGAUGCAGCACCAAUCCGCCGAUCUAUCUCACGCUCCAGUUUUCCCUCACUCAUGAACAAGACCCCGAGAUACUUAAACUCCUCCACUUGGGGCAGGACCUCAUCCCUGACCCGGAGAAGG